rnacentral:rRNA from 1 species
CAGCAGCCGCGGUAAUACGAAGGGUGCAAGCGUUACUCGGAAUUACUGGGCGUAAGGCGUGCGUAGGUGGUGGUUUAAGUCCGUUGUGAAAGCCCUGGGCUCAACCUGGGAAUUGCAGUGGAUACUGGGUCACUAGAGUGUGGUAGAGGAUAGCGGAAUUUCCGGUGUAGCAGUGAAAUGCGUAGAGAUCGGAAGGAACAUCUGUGGCGAAGGCGACUAUCUGGGCCAACACUGACGCUGAGGCACGAAAGCGUGGGGAGCAAACAGGAUUAGAUACCCCCGUAGUCCCUGUCUCUUAUAC